rnacentral:rRNA from 1 species
GACGAACGCUGGCGGCGUGCCUAAUACAUGCAAGUAGAACGCUGAAGAAAGGAGCUUGCUUCUUUUGGAUGAGUUGCGAACGGGUGAGUAACGCGUAGGUAACCUGCCCUGUAGCGGGGGAUAACUAUUGGAAACGAUAGCUAAUACCGCAUAACAGCUUUUGACACAUGUUAGAAGCUUGAAAGAUGCAAUUGCAUCACUACGAGAUGGACCUGCGUUGUAUUAGCUAGUAGGUAGGGUAACGGCCUACCUAGGCGACGAUACAUAGCCGACCUGAGAGGGUGAUCGGCCACACUGGGACUGAGACACGGCCCAGACUCCUACGGGAGGCAGCAGUAGGGAAUCUUCGGCAAUGGGGGCAACCCUGACCGAGCAACGCCGCGUGAGUGAAGAAGGUUUUCGGAUCGUAAAGCUCUGUUGUAAGAGAAGAACGUGUGUGAGAGUGGAAGGUUCACACAGUGACGGUAACUUACCAGAAAGGGACGGCUAACUACGUGCCAGCAGCCGCGGUAAUACGUAGGUCCCGAGCGUUGUCCGGAUUUAUUGGGCGUAAAGCGAGCGCAGGCGGUUUAAUAAGUCUGAAGUUAAAGGCAGUGGCUUAACCAUUGUUCGCUUUGGAAACUGUUAA